GAUGAACGCUAGCGGCAGGCUUAAUACAUGCAAGUCGAGGGACAGCACAGGUAGCAAUACUGGGUGGUAACCGGCAAACGGGUGCGGAACACGUACACAACCUUCCUUUAAGUGGGGGAUAGCCCAGAGAAAUUUGGAUUAAUACCCCGUAAUAUAGUUGAAUGGCAUCAUUUGAUUAUUAUAGCUACGGCGCUUAAUGAUGGGUGUGCGGCUGAUUAGAUAGUUGGCGGGGUAACGGCACACCAAGUCUACGAUCAGUAGCUGAUGUGAGAGCAUGAGCAGCCACACGGGCACUGAGACGCGGGCCCGACUCCUACGGGAGGCAGCAGUAAGGAAUAUUGGUCAUUGGACGCAAGUCUGAACCAGCCAUGCCGCGUGAAGGAUUAAGGUCCUCUGGAUUGUAAACUUCUUUUAUUUGGGACGAAAAAGGGCCUUUCUAGGUCAACUGACGGUACCAGAUGAAUAAGCACCGGCUAACUCCGUGCCAGCAGCCGCCGUAAUAC
rnacentral:rRNA from 1 species